rnacentral:rRNA from 1 species
CGGAGGAAAAGAAACUAACAAGGAUUCCCCUAGUAACUGCGAGUGAAGCGGGAAAAGCUCAAAUUUAAAAUCUGAUAGUCUUUGGCUGUCCGAGUUGUAAUCUAGAGAAGUGUUAUCCGCGCUGGACCGUGUACAAGUCUCCUGGAAUGGAGCGUCAUAGAGGGUGAGAAUCCCGUCUUUGACACGGACUGCCAGGGCUUUGUGAUGCGCUCUCAAAGAGUCGAGUUGUUUGGGAAUGCAGCUCAAAAUGGGAGGUAAAUUCCUUCUAAAGCUAAAUAUUGGCGAGAGACCGAUAGCGAACAAGUACCGUGAGGGAAAGAUGAAAAGAACUUUGGAAAGAGAGUUAAACAGUACGUGAAAUUGCUGAAAGGGAAACGCUUGAAGUCAGUCGCGUUGGUCAGGAAUCAACCUUGCUUUUGCUGGGUGUACUUUCUGGUUGACGGGUCAGCAUCAAUUUUGACCGUUGGAUAAAGUCUGAGGGAAGGUGGCAUCUUCGGAUGUGUUAUAGCCCUUGGUCGCAUACAACGGUUGGGAUUGAGGAACUCAGCACGCCGCAAGGCCGGGUAUUUAUACUACGUUCGUGCUUAGGAUGCUGGCAUAAUGGCUUUAAUCGACCCGUCUUGAAACACGGACCAAGGAGUCUAACAUGCCUGCGAGUGUUUGGGUGGAAAACCCGAGCGCGCAAUGAAAGUGAAAGUUGAGAUCCCUGUCGUGGGGAGCAUCGACGCCCGGACUUGACCUUUUGUGACGGAUCCGCGGUAGAGCAUGUAUGUUGGGACCCGAAAGAUGGUGAACUAUGCCUGAAUAGGGUGAAGCCAGAGGAAACUCUGGUGGAGGCUCGUAGCGAUUCUGACGUGCAAAUCGAUCGUCAAAUUUGGGUAUAGGGGCGAAAGACUAAUCGA